rnacentral:rRNA from 1 species
GACGAACGCUGGCGGCGUGCCUAAUACAUGCAAGUAGAACGCUGAAGAGAGGAGCUUGCUCUUCUUGGAUGAGUUGCGAACGGGUGAGCAACGCGUAGGUAACCUGCCUUGUAGCGGGGGAUAACUAUUGGAAACGAUAGCUAAUACCGCAUAACAAUGGAUGACACAUGUCAUUUAUUUGAAAGGGGCAAUUGCUCCACUACAAGAUGGACCUGCGUUGUAUUAGCUAGUAGGUGAGGUAAUGGCUCACCUAGGCGACGAUACAUAGCCGACCUGAGAGGGUGAUCGGCCACACUGGGACUGAGACACGGCCCAGACUCCUACGGGAGGCAGCAGUAGGGAAUCUUCGGCAAAGGGGGCAACCCUGACCGAGCAACGCCGCGUGAGUGAAGAAGGUUUUCGGAUCGUAAAGCUCUGUUGUAAGUCAAGAACGGGUGUGAGAGUGGAAAGUUCACACUGUGACGGUAGCUUACCAGAAAGGGACGGCUAACUACGU